CUCGCAGCUUCGCCAGAAGCUACGAAGGGGGGCCUCGCCCCGGGAAGGGGAGAGUGGCCGAGUGGUUAAAAGCGACAGACUGUAAAUCUGUUGAAGUUUUUCUACGUAGGUUCGAAUCCUGCCUCUCCCACUUGUUGUAGACUUCAGAGAAGAGAAAAGGGGCAUUCGUCAGCGUAGGAAGGCCAACCGAGCGAAGCUCC
rnacentral:tRNA from 1 species